GGGGCUAUAGCUCAAUGGUUAGAGCGCUGACCUGGCAUGUGUGAGACCACGGGUUCGAUUCCCCAGCACUG
rnacentral:tRNA from 1 species